rnacentral:rRNA from 1 species
CCUACGGGUGGCAGCAGUGGGGAAUAUUGGGCAAUGGAGGAAACUCUGACCCAGCAACGCCGCGUGAAUGAUGACGGUCUUCGGAUUGUAAAGUUCUUUUCUAAGGGAAGAAGAAAGUGACGGUACCUUAGGAAUAAGCCUCGGCUAACUACGUGCCAGCAGACGCGGUAAUACGUAGGAGGCGAGCGUUAUCCGGAAUGACUGGGCGUAAGGGGUGCGUAGGUGGUUUGGCAAGUCAGUAGGGUAACUCCGCGGCUCAACCUUGGAAUUACAACUAAAACUGGCAGACUUGAGUACAGGGGAGGUAGGCGGAAUUCGUGGUGUAGCGGGGAAAUGCUUAGAUAUCAGGAAGAACUCC